AUCCUCUCUUGCGGUGACAUAAUGGUUAGCGCGCUGGAAUCCAGACCGAGCGGUCCGGGUUCGAGCCCUGGCCGGGGUG